GCCCCGGUGGCCCAGUGGUAACUUCCCCGCCUGCCGUGUGGACGACCCGGGUUCGAAUCCCGCCAUUGGGGCC